GUGGUUGUGGCUCAGAGGUAGAGUGCUUGCCUAGCAUGCAUGAGGUACUAGGUUAAAUCCUCAGCACCACG
rnacentral:tRNA from 1 species